GUUCCUACCCGCGCAAACGAUUAUGGAACUCCUUGUUCAUCUUGUUCCGGCAUCUCUGCGAUGGCGCUUCCGAAUCAAAACCCGACGAUCGGUCUAUUUCGUUGCCGGAAUCUGAAUCGCAGCGCUCAGUUCUGGUCUACGAUAUAUCACAACAGGCCCAAGUUGCUAUGGAGAACAUGCUUAGAAUGAACAGUGAAAUUGAUCGAAACACUGCUGGAAUAUUUGAAGACAUGGAAAAGUGCAGGCGUUCUGCUCUCGAGAGUCCUAGAGGAAGAGAAACAACAAUUUCAACAAGCUGUUUACACUGUUUUAGACAUGCUCAACAACGGAUGGGGAACGUUGUAAGAUUUCUCUCAAAGUUUCUGCACAUUUCAGCCAAUACGUACCCCUUUUAUGUAUGUACACCGUGACUCAUCACUUUUUUCUUGAUAGUCGAAGACCGCAUGUCAUCAUUUAGGCCUUGUGUUACGUAAACCAAGCAGAUAUGAUUUUUGUCUUCAAACAAAGAAUAAAUGAUCACCCUCUCUUAAAACA